GCUUAGAGCCUCGCCAGAAUGUGAGCAGCGCCAAGUGUGAUGAGACUUGGACUCAGCCAGCGCUGGAAAACAGUCUGACCUACACUGGGGCAUGGUCGAGUUCACAGUUAAAGCAGAAGAGCAUGAGCUGUCUGUCGCUUGGCAGGAAGGUGUGAUAUGUUGCAAGGAAGGCAGAAGCUAACCAGCAAGUAGGAUCCAUCCGGUUCCAAUCAUCCGCCUACCUCCUACAUGAUGAAUCCAAGCAUUGGGCUCAUUCAUCACUACUAUUCACCUGAUUAAGUCAAGAUUUACCCAGAAACAUCCCAGAAGAUUUCUUUGGAUAUACCUUCUUAUCAUGGUGGGGGCCCCAAAAGUUUGAAGUAAGCCUCAUGAUGGCUCAAGGAAUCUGGCCCAUUCCAGCAGAAACAGGAUGAAGGUUGCUUAACAACAGGUCUCACCUGCUUCAUCAUGUGACCCUAAUCAAGGACUUACCAUACGGAGCCCAUUUUUAUAACAAAUCGAUUUUUACAAUGAACAAGAUAGAUACCAGAACCUGCCCCUUUUCAAUAAAAACAACCAAGGGACUUCCCUGAUGGUCCAGUGGUCAAAACUCCAUGCUCCUACUGCAAAGGGUGCGGAUUUGAUCCUUCGUUAGUUAACUAAGAUCCUGCA